GUUCGCACAUAUUAUACCAACGACAACCUCUAUUUGAUAUCCUUUUGAAGUCUACGCCUUGGAUGCUCUCUUUUCCUCAUCCUCCAUCUCUAAGGUUAUCAAUUCUAGGAUUUUUAAGAAAAGGUUAAUCAAGAUUCCAAGAGCUGAUUUCUUGGACCACCUUCUUCAAGCUAUGGUUCUUCUUUGAAUUCUUGAAAAGCAAAUAAGGAAAUCUGUCCAAAGAUGAACGCGGAAGUUUUUGAGCGAGAAAUGCAGAAGAGACCAC